CAGGGGAAAACAGAGUGUGCUCAGUGAAUCUCAGGUAAUACAGGAAAAAUACCUAAUAUCAAAAUAUUCUUACUAGUUACCUCUGUGUGGUGGAAUUGAUUUUUAUUUAUUUAUUUUUGUACCUUUUGGAAUACUCUAAAAUCUCUAUCGUAAGCAUGGAUGAUUUUCAUGUUCAAGAAAAAAAUCGUUUUAAAAUUCAGCAUCAAUAACAAAAUCAGCAAAAAGACAGAUCCUUUGAGGCUACAGUCCCACACCAGACCAGGAGGCAGAAAGCCUGAACUGAGGUCUCAAGUCUUAACACCACCUGGCUACACGACCUUGGGUCACACACCUAACCACUGGCAAGGCCGUUACUAAAACGCAGCUCCCCUGAUUUCUGCAUGUGCCCCCUUCCUCCUCAUACUCUUCCUUCCGUGCCCUCCGUGGAUUAGAAGCAUUGCUUCCUUGCGCCAAAGAUAAGAAAAAUGGAGAGUGACUGGGCCAGCUCACGUACGUGUUCCAUUAAGUGAGCAAGGCCACAGAGAAACCUGCACUCCUCAGUGCCAGUGACGUGACUUUCCGAAUGAGCCAAUGCUGCUUGCAGAAACACAGGGCUAAUUGGCUCUUUCGAGGCAGCGGAGAAUCUCGGGGUGAUGCAUUGUGCGCUAUUCAAUGGCGGGUUGCUGUGACAGGGGGCUGCAAAUGCCACUCUGGGGAUGUGUUAAUGAAGGCUCAGCAUGCACAACACAAGAGGCAAUUAUUCUGCUCGCCCUGGCACUGGCUCCUCCUGGAAGGAGAGCUGCCGACAGGGUUGGAAGGAGCUCAGUGGAAAGUUCACCGAGAAAGCCAGAUGGAGAAAGAACAGGACUUGCUGUCUGGACCAGCCAUCGCCAAACAGAUGGUGCGCUUGUCCAUCUGUGCUGCCCUUCUCCUGGAGGACAUGAGGAGGAGGUGGCUCGGUGGGAGAAGAAAGGAGACUCAGCUGGUGGAGGGAAAGAGAUCUGGGCUGCUUCCGGCCGCCUAGAAGCCUCCAUCUCUGAUAAUAACUCUACAGCCUCUGGAGCUGCCUUCCCUCCUGGCCUGGAGAUGCCAUCCAGAUGCCAUCACAUGGCCAAGCAGGUUUAUCUCAGAAGCUACCGGAGUGUGACAGGAAGGGCAUUGACCUUGGAGGCCGCUGGACCGGGGUGUGACUGCCAUCUGCACUGCCUGCUGCCCAGGCCCCUGGGCGGGUCAUGUGGUGUCUCGGCACCUCAGCUUCUUCAUCUGUAUUGAACACACAGAGGAGCCUUUUCAAAGUGGGUAAUGGUCACUCUAACUUUAAAAAAGAAAGUAUCUAAGACAGGAGGAUAAGGGCUCUGGGAGUUCCCUGAGGGAUCAGAGCCAGGCAGAGCCUGGGCUGGGCUGAGUGUUGAAGGCCCAGUGGGUCUGGUCGGGUGACCAGGGGUGGGGACUGUAUCAGGGCAGGGGGUCCAGGGCGCCCUGUCGAGAAGUCAUCCUCCAGUGGGUGGAGUUGAGUGAUGUGCUGUGGCGCAGCUGAGAGUGAGAUUGGAGAGACUGGUGGUGCCUGACCCCCGUUUCCUGAUGGGGCCCAGGGCAGGGUUGUGGACAAAUGCUGGCCACGGAGCGCCAACAACUGCAAUAGAGUUCCACACAGCCAUCCAUCCCUUCAUUUGCUCAGCAAUACUCAAGGAGCAUUUGUUAGUGCCCAUGACAUUCCAGACCAACGUCAGAUGUGGGGACACAGCCGGAAAGAGAUCCAAGUCCUGGUCUCCAGGAGAACACAGACUAAGAGGCCUCCUGUGGUUGGCCCAGGGCUCUCUUGUGAGCUCUGUGACCCGGAGCAAGUGACUCACGUUUUCUGGACUUCUACCUCAUCAGUGGGGACAGUGACUGGACUUCCCUGUGGGGUUGAUUAGAGGAGUAACGACGUGUGAGAUUAUGACGGAAAAUAUUUAGCAUGCCCUGAGCACUAAUAAAUGGCAACAUUUUAUUGACGUUCA